UCUAGAAGUUAUUUAAAAAAAUCCUGUAUGUCUUCCCGUAACACAUUCUGUUUUAAUAUCUCCUUUUAUCAUGAAAAGAAGAUAUGAUUAUUGUGAAAAAUUAGAACAUGAAAAAUAUAUAAAUACCAGAACAUUUUUAAACAAUCUACAUAAGCAAGAUUGAUGGACCAAGAGGACCAAGCAAAAUUUAUGGACCAAAGGGGCUGGUGUGUUUUCCUGUCUGUUCUUCCUCUGUGUAGAGGACGGAGCGUGGCUGUGAGUCAGAGCAAUCCAGGAGGAGGCACUAGGGAGGAAGG
rnacentral:lncRNA from 1 species